rnacentral:lncRNA from 1 species
AGCAGAUAAACCUCCAGGGCUUAUGAAGAGUGAGAAGUGACCCUGCCCAGAUCAAUACAGACGCCGCUCAUCCCAACCCAGCUCUCUUUACUCUGAAUGUCGGCGAAGAGGAAAUCCUUGGAGUUGGGUCAUCAGCCUGUGUAGUUGGUGCGAACAUUGACGGUGCUGAGCUUGAUGUCUGGCACAUAACGAACACACAAACAUCAGCUAUGGUGCUGCUCAUGAGGACCCGCUCAGAGCCUGGGAGGCUGAAAGAAUCCUUCUCACAUCUAAGAAGCAAGGGUGAGAUUCUGCCUCCAAAGUUUUGCCCAAGAUGUUGUGUCUGCACACCUAGUCUUCUCCUCACCCUGGAACAUGAGCCCCAGAGAGGAGUCUGCUUCUGUGUUCUGCCAGAGCCUCCCAGAGGCAGCCAGCUGGCUGGAUCCUGGGCAACAACGAGCGGAACGUGUCUGUCUUCACAUCUCGGAAGCACCACAUCGCGUUGCUGCGUCCGUGAGCUCUCUCUCGAUCUCUCUGAGUUCUCCUGUGUAAUGUAUUCCAGGUGUCUCUCCUUCUGCUACGUGCUCUGGAAACUAACAACAAACCUGCGGUCCUGAGACUUUCCUGAGGAAUUGCCUUGAAGAGAGAGUCUGUUCACUGUGACUCUGAUGUAAACCCUUCCAGAGACCGUUUGCUUCAUUUUUGUUCCUUUUGCAGAACUUAAUUUUUUAAAAGAAAGUUUAAAAACAAGAUUGUAAACUUUUAUGGGUUGAAUUGUGUCCCCCCAAAAUAUAUGUUGAAGUCCUCACCCCCAGAACCUCAUAAUGUGAACUUAUUUGAAAAUAGAGAUGUUGCAGAUGUAAUUAGAUAAGAUGAGGUCAUACGGGAAUAAGGUGGGCCCCUAAUUCAAUCUGUCUGGUGUCCUUACAAGGAUAUGGCCGUGUGAAGACAGAGACAUGGGGAGGAUGCCAUGUGAGGAAGGAGGAUUGG